rnacentral:rRNA from 1 species
CCUACGGGAGGCAGCAGUGAGGAAUAUUGGUCAAUGGCCGGAAGGCUGAACCAGCCAUGCCGCGUGAAGGUCAGUGCCCUAUGGGCGUUAAACUUCUUUUGUGCGGGAGCAAUAAUGGUCACGUGUGGCCAGACGAGAGUACCGUACGAAUAAGCAUCGGCUAACACCGUGCCAGCAGCCGCGGUAAUACGGGGGGUGCAAGCGUUAACCGGAUUUAUUGGGGUUAAAGGGUGCGUAGGCUGGGAGGUAAGUCAGCGGUGAAAUGCCCCCGCUCAACGGGGUGAAGUGCCAUUGAUACUGCCUUGCUGGAGUGCGGAUGACGUGGGAGGAAUGUGUGGUGUAGCGGUGAAAUGCAUAGAUAUCACACAGAACACCGAUUGCGAAGGCAUCUCACGAAUCCGCGAUUGACGCUGAUGCACGAAAGCGUGGGUAUCAAACAGGAUUAGAUACCCGGGUAGUC